rnacentral:rRNA from 1 species
GGGCGGAAGCCUGAUGCAGCAACGCCGCGUGAGGGAUGACGGCCUUCGGGUUGUAAACCUCUUUUAGCAGGGAAGAAGCGUAAGUGACGGUACCUGCAGAAAAAGCGCCGGCUAACUACGUGCCAGCAGCCGCGGUAAUACGUAGGGCGCAAGCGUUAUCCGGAAUUAUUGGGCGUAAAGAGCUCGUAGGCGGUUUGUCGCGUCUGCUGUGAAAUCCCGAGGCUCAACCUCGGGCCUGCAGUGGGUACGGGCAGACUAGAGUGCGGUAGGGGAGAUUGGAAUUCCUGGUGUAGCGGUGGAAUGCGCAGAUAUCAGGAGGAACACCGAUGGCGAAGGCAGAUCUCUGGGCCGUAACUGACGCUGAGGAGCGAAAGGGUGGGGAGCAAACAGGCUUAGAUACCCUGGUAGUCCACCCCGUAAACGUUGGGAACUAGUUGUGGGGACCAUUCCACGGUUUCCGUGACGCAGCUAACGCAUUAAGUUCCCCGCCUGGGGAGUACGGCCGCAAGGCUAAAACUCAAAGGAAUUGACGGGGACCCGCACAAGCGGCGGAGCAUGCGGAUUAAUUCGAUGCAACGCGAAGAACCUUACCAAGGCUUGACAUAUACGAGAACGGGCCAGAAAUGGUCAACUCUUUGGACACUCGUAAACAGGUGGUGCAUGGUUGUCGUCAGCUCGUGUCGUGAGAUGUUGGGUUAAGUCCCGCAACGAGCGCAACCCUCGUUCUAUGUUGCCAGC